rnacentral:ncRNA from 2 species
GUAGUGCUCCGGGGUCAGUGUAAGUCUGAACCGGCGGUGAAAGUCCGCGACCCGGCUCUGCCGCAUAUGUGAUAUGUGCGCUUUGCCGGCUGAAAAGGUGAAAUUCCUUUACCGACGGUUAAAGUCCGGAUGGGAGGCGCACGAA